AACGAACGCUGGCGGCAGGCCUAACACAUGCAAGUCGAGCGAGGACUUCGGUUCUAGCGGCGGACGGGUGAGUAACGCGUGGGAAUGUGCCCUUCUCUACGGAAUAGCCCUGGGAAACUGGGAGUAAUACCGUAUACGCCCUAUUGGGGAAAGAUUUAUCGGAGAAGGAUCAGCCCGCGUUGGAUUAGGUAGUUGGUGGGGUAAUGGCCUACCAAGCCGACGAUCCAUAGCUGGUUUGAGAGGAUGAUCAGCCACACUGGGACUGAGACACGGCCCAGACUCCUACGGGAGGCAGCAGUGGGGAAUCUUAGACAAUGGGGGCAACCCUGAUCUAGCCAUGCCGCGUAAGUGAUGAAGGCCUUAGGGUUGUAAAGCUCUUUCAGCUGGGAAGAUAAUGACGGUACCAGCAGAAGAAGUCCCGGCUAACUCCGUG
rnacentral:rRNA from 1 species